UACGGAGGGGGCUAGCGUUGUUCGGAAUUACUGGGCGUAAAGCGCACGUAGGCGGCGAUUUAAGUCAGAGGUGAAAGCCCGGGGCUCAACCCCGGAAUAGCCUUUGAGACUGGAUUGCUAGAAUCUUGGAGAGGCGAGUGGAAUUCCGAGUGUAGAGGUGAAAUUCGUAGAUAUUCGGAAGAACACCAGUGGCGAAGGCGGCUCGCUGGACGAAG
rnacentral:rRNA from 1 species